GGGUAAAUUGUCUUGGCACAG
rnacentral:miRNA from 1 species